rnacentral:rRNA from 1 species
GACGAACGCUGGCGGCGUGCCUAAUACAUGCAAGUCGAGCGGACCUCUUCGGAGGUUAGCGGCGGACGGGAGAGUAACACGUGGGCAACCUGCCUGUAAGACUGGGAUAACUUCGGGAAACCGGAGCUAAUACCGGAUAAUCCUUUCCCUCUCAUGAGGGAAGGCUGAAAGACGGUUUCGGCUGUCACUUACAGAUGGGCCCGCGGCGCAUUAGCUAGUUGGUGAGGUAACGGCUCACAAAGGCGACGCUGCGUAGCCGACCUGAGAGGGUGGUCGGCCACACUGGGACUGAGCCACGGCCCAGACUCCUACGGGAGGCAGCAGUAGGGAAUCUGCCGCAAUGGACGAAAGUCUGACGGAGCAACGCCGCGUGAGCGAAGAAGGCAUUCGGGUCGUAAAGCUCUGUUGGCAGGGAAGAACAAGUAUCGGAGUAACUGCCGGUACCUUGACGGUACCUGACCAGAAAGCCACGGCUAACUACGUGCCAGCCGCCGCAGUAA